rnacentral:rRNA from 1 species
GACGAACGCUGGCGGCGUGCCUAACACAUGCAAGUCGAACGGAACUGUUUUGAAAGAUUUCUUCGGAAUGAAUUUGAUUUAGUUUAGUGGCGGACGGGUGAGUAACGCGUGAGUAACCUGCCUUCAAGAGGGGGAUAACAUUCUGAAAAGAAUGCUAAUACCGCAUGACAUAUCGGAAUCACAUGGUUCUGAUAUCAAAGAUUUUAUCGCUUGAAGAUGGACUCGCGUCCGAUUAGUUAGUUGGUGAGGUAACGGCUCACCAAGACCGCGAUCGGUAGCCGGACUGAGAGGUUGAACGGCCACAUUGGGACUGAGACACGGCCCAGACUCCUACGGGAGGCAGCAGUGGGGGAUAUUGCGCAAUGGGGGCAACCCUGACGCAGCGACGCCGCGUGAAGGAUGAAGGUUUUCGGAUUGUAAACUUCUUUUAUUAAGGACGAAA